UAUUAUUUUAAGCGUUAAUAUUGCUUGCCAGGGUACUAUUAGUUAAGAUCUUUAAACCCAAAGAAUUUGGCGGUAUCUCAUUCCAUUCAGAGGAACCUACCCCGUAAUUGAUAGUUCACGAUUUACUCUACUUAAUUUAUUUGUUUGUAUAUCUCCGUUAUCAGAAGAUCUUUUUAGAGUUAUAAUUUUCUUUAUUUAUAAUUGUAAAUUAUUUCAGGUCAAGGUGCAGCUUAUAAUUAAGAGGAGGUGGGUUACAAUAGGUUUUUUCCUAUUACGGAUUAAUAGUGAAAUACUUUUAAUGAAGGUGGAUUUGAUAGUAAUCUAAUUUAUUUAAUUUAUUUGACAUUGGCUCUGAGAUGUGUACACAUCGCCCGUCACUCUCGUUGUUGGAUAUUUACUUAUAGUUUUAGGAUGAGGUAUUUUUCAAGUUAGAUGAG
rnacentral:rRNA from 1 species